CCCAAAACACUAACCCCCCUGCUCCAACACCUUAAUAUUAAUAAAAUAAGCCACUAAAACCAAAGGUGCUAAAGUCGCUUGGCAUUUGAGCUAUGAAUGGAAUCUGCUCGCCAGUGCUCCUUGCAGUGAAAAAAACCCUUUCCUGAAUAAUUAACUCAGCUGAAGAAGCUUAUAAAUUCUUUGAAAUAUCUGGGACCAGUGAAGGAUGUGGUGACAAUAUUUACGUACGUGUCCCUUACUAAUGGUGUCCGAAGGUGACCACAUUACUCACCCCUCUGCAGAUGAGCUCCAGGUGUCACAUACUGACAGGUGCUGCUCUGAAGGAGCCCGGAACCUGAUUUUCUCGACUUCCACUGGAUCACUGAUGGCUCCUGGCACUUCAGGCAAUCAGAUUUCAGGUGUCCCAAAGCAGGAAAAGCACUGAUCCCUCUAGAAGAAGCUGAUCUGCUUCAUGCACACCUUUGCUAUCUCCAGAAACCAUCAGAGCUGGACAAGACAGAUUUGUCACUGGUUACAAUGCAGACCCUCCCAUGCAGAUAAAACAAAUUCCACACUUCCCUUCCCUGCUGCAAAAUAAAUCUGUUGCUGCAAGACUCUGCACUUUCUCCCCAUGCCCACUGCCAUUUGCACACCAGGCUUAGCAGGAAUAGCUCAUGGGGAAGAACAACUCCCUUCCUUUCUUCUGGAAUUAAUUUCCAACAAACUGGCAUUUUCAAUUUUUUGAUAGCAAAGCCUAAAAGGAAUAUGUCUUCAGUGUGGCCUCAGUGCAAUCCAAUGGCAUUGUAAAUCUAUCAAAACCACCUAGACUGUCACUUGUAAUUUUCUGUGUUCACAGGAAAAUAAAAUUAUAUGGUAAGAUAAACUGAA